rnacentral:snRNA from 1 species
GGACGUGAAGGUGAUCUGGCUGUGACAUCUGCCAUGCAUUGAUCAGCAGGUUGACUCGGCGGGCCUUGCUGGUGAGGCGGGUGUCUGCUUCUUCCGUCACUGCUCCGGUACGUCCCUCCUGAAGCUGCAGGCUCCAUGGACUGUCCCCAACGGAGGAGGACCAGUCUUCGAUCAAGGGUAUACAAAUCGCCGCACUGCCCUGCUAGAGCCUCCAAACAAACUCUCAAGGUCCAAAUGACACUGGGAGUUAGGGCUUCCACACAGGAAUCUGGGGUGCACCGUGCAACCAAUAAGCU